rnacentral:rRNA from 1 species
AUCUAUGGCCAUGCCACCCGGAAGCUAAGCAGGGUCAUGCCUGGUUAGUACUUGGAUGGGAGACCACCUAGCAAGACCAGGUACUGUAGGCA